AGCAGCCGCGGUAAUUCCAGCUCCAAUAGCGUAUAUUAAAGUUGUUGCAGUUAAAAAGCUCGUAGUUGAAUUUCGGGAUCAAGGAAUCGGUCAUGCCUCGGUAUGUACUGGUUUUAUUGGUUCUCACCUUCUAAAGAACCAUGAUGUCAUUCAUUUGAUGUUAUGGGGAAUUAGGACUGUUACCUUGAAAAAAUUAGAGUGCUUAAAGCAGGCUUACGCUUGAAUACAUUAGCAUGGAAUAAUGAAAUAGGACAUCAGAUUCUAUUUUGUUGGUUUCUAGGAUCGAUGUAAUGAUUAAUAGGGAUAGUUGGGGGCAUUAGUAUUCAAUUGUCAGAGGUGAAAUUCUUGGAUUUAUUGAAGACUAACUACUGCGAAAGCAUUUGCCAAGGAUGUUUUCAUUAAUCAAGAACGAAAGUUAGGGGAUCGAAGACGAUCAGAUACCGUCGCAGUCUUAACCAUAAACUAUGCCGACUAGGGAUCGGAUGAUGUUAAUUUUUUAAUGACUCAUUCGGCGCCUUAC
rnacentral:misc_RNA from 1 species